AGUCUUGAAGGACAGAAGAAACCGAAGGCUCUAUGGUAAUUGAUGGACAUCAAUACUAGCACAAAAAAAAAAAUCUUUACCUCCAAUGAGCUUCGAAAACAGGCACUUUACCUUCUGAAGGAAAGGCUGCAGUCAAGGAGAUGGAAAAGUCCAGGAAAUAAGGAAACAAAGCCUAAGAGUUCAGUUACUUGUCCACAAUCACACAAUUAGUAAGUAUCUAUCUGUAUUGGGAUUUGAACUCAGGUCUCCUUGACAUCCAGUCUAGUACUGUA
rnacentral:lncRNA from 1 species